GUCUUCCUGGCUUAGUUGGUUAAAGCGUCGGUCUCAUACUACUCUGUAUGAUUUACUUGCUCAAACAAGUGAAAAAAAGCACGUGAUCCGAAGGUCGUGAGUUCGACUCUCACGGAGGACA